ACUGGAAACGGUUGCUAAUACCCCGUAGGCUGAGGAGCAAAAGGAGAAAUCCGCCCAAGGAGGGGCUCGCGUCUGAUUAGCUAGUUGGUGAGGCAAUAGCUUACCAAGGCGAUGAUCAGUAGCUGGUCCGAGAGGAUGAUCAGCCACACUGGGACUGAGACACGGCCCAGACUCCUACGGGAGAGGCAGCAAGUGGGGGGAAUUUUC
rnacentral:ncRNA from 1 species